rnacentral:rRNA from 1 species
UGGCUCAGGAUGAACGCCGGCGGUGUGCCUAAUACAUGCAAGUCGUACGCACUGGCCCAACUGAUUGAUGGUGCUUGCACCUGAUUGACGAUGGAUUACCAGUGAGUGGCGGACGGGUGAGUAACACGUAGGUAACCUGCCCCGGAGCGGGGGAUAACAUUUGGAAACAGAUGCUAAUACCGCAUAACAACAAAAGCCACAUGGCUUUUGUUUGAAAGAUGGCUUUGGCUAUCACUCUGGGAUGGACCUGCGGUGCAUUAGCUAGUUGGUAAGGUAACGGCUUACCAAGGCGAUGAUGCAUAGCCGAGUUGAGAGACUGAUCGGCCACAAUGGAACUGAGACACGGUCCAUACUCCUACGGGAGGCAGCAGUAGGGAAUCUUCCACAAUGGGCGCAAGCCUGAUGGAGCAACACCGCGUGAGUGAAGAAGGGUUUCGGCUCGUAAAGCUCUGUUGUUGGAGAAGAACGUGCGUGAGAGUAACUGUUCACGCAGUGACGGUAUCCAACCAGAAAGUCACGGCUAACUACGUGCCAGCAGCCGCGGUAAUACGUAGGUGGCAAGCGUUAUCCGGAUUUAUUGGGCGUAAAGCGAGCGCAGGCGGUUGCUUAGGUCUGAUGUGAAAGCCUUCGGCUUAACCGAAGAAGUGCAUCGGAAACCGGGCGACUUGAGUGCAGAAGAGGACAGUGGAACUCCAUGUGUAGCGGUGGAAUGCGUAGAUAUAUGGAAGAACACCAGUGGCGAAGGCGGCUGUCUGGUCUGCAACUGACGCUGAGGCUCGAAAGCAUGGGUAGCGAACAGGAUUAGAUACCCUGGUAGUCCAUGCCGUAAACGAUGAGUGCUAGGUGUUGGAGGGUUUCCGCCCUUCAGUGCCGGAGCUAACGCAUUAAGCACUCCGCCUGGGGAGUACGACCGCAAGGUUGAAACUCAAAGGAAUUGACGGGGGCCCGCACAAGCGGUGGAGCAUGUGGUUUAAUUCGAAGCUACGCGAAGAACCUUACCAGGUCUUGACAUCUUGCGCUAACCUUAGAGAUAAGGCGUUCCCUUCGGGGACGCAAUGACAGGUGGUGCAUGGUCGUCGUCAGCUCGUGUCGUGAGAUGUUGGGUUAAGUCCCGCAACGAGCGCAACCCUUGUUACUAGUUGCCAGCAUUAAGUUGGGCACUCUAGUGAGACUGCCGGUGACAAACCGGAGGAAGGUGGGGACGACGUCAGAUCAUCAUGCCCCUUAUGACCUGGGCUACACACGUGCUACAAUGGACGGUACAACGAGUCGCAAGCUCGCGAGAGUAAGCUAAUCUCUUAAAGCCGUUCUCAGUUCGGACUGUAGGCUGCAACUCGCCUACACGAAGUCGGAAUCGCUAGUAAUCGCGGAUCAGCAUGCCGCGGUGAAUACGUUCCCGGGCCUUGUACACACCGCCCGUCACACCAUGGGAGUUUGUAACGCCCAAAGUCGGUGGCCUAACCUUUAUGGAGGGAGCCGCCUAAGCGGGACAGAUGACUGGGGUGAA